rnacentral:misc_RNA from 1 species
GAUGAAGACGCAGCGAAAUGCGAUAAGUAAUGUGAAUUGCAGAAUUCAGUGAAUCAUCGAAUCUUUGAACGCACAUUGCGCCCGCCAGUAUUCUGGCGGGCAUGCCUGUUCGAGCGUCAUUUCAACCAUCAAGCCCCAGGCUUGUGUUGGGGACCUGCGGCUGCCGCAGGCCCUGAAAACCAGUGGCGGGCUCGCUGUCACACCGGGCGUAGUAGAUUUUAUCUCGCUCAGGGCGUGCUGCGGGUUCCGGCCGUUAAAAAGCCUUUUUUACCCAAGGUUGACCUCGGAUCAGGUAGGAAGACCCGCUGAACUUAAGCAUAUCAAUAAGCGGAGGA